rnacentral:rRNA from 1 species
UGGGGAAUUUUGCGCAAUGCCCGAAAGGGUGACGCAGCGACGCCGCGUGAAUGAAGAAGGUCUUCGGAUCGUAAAGUUCUUUCGACAGGGAAGAAAUUUAUUGCGAGUAACUGCGCAGUAAUUGACGGUACCUGUAUAAGCAGUCCCGGCUAACUCCGUGCCAGCAGCCGCGGUAAUACGUAGGGGGCAAGCGUUGUCCGGAAUUACUGGGCGUAAAGAGCACGUAGGCGGUAACCUAAGUCAGAUGUGAAAGACCAGGGCUUAACUCUGGGGUUGCAUACGAAACUGGGUAACUAGAGUGCAGGAGAGGAAAGUGGAAUUCCUAGUGUAGCGGUGAAAUGCGUAGAUAUUAGGAGGAACACCAGUGGCGAAGGCGGCUUUCUGGACUGUAACUGACGCUGAGGUGCGAAAGCCAGGGGAGCGAACG